rnacentral:rRNA from 1 species
GCGCAGCAGGCGAGAAACCUCCGCAAUGCGGGAAACCGCGACGGGGGGACCCCGAGUGCCGUGGCAAUGCUACGGCUUUUCCGGAGUGUAAAAAGCUCCGGGAAUAAGGGCUGGGCAAGGCCGGUGGCAGCCGCCGCGGUAAUACCGGCGGCCCGAGUGGUGGCCGCUAUUAUUGGGCCUAAAGCGUCCGUAGCCGAGCCCGUAAGUCCCUGGCGAAAUCCCACGGCUCAACCGUGGGGCUUGCUGGGGAUACUGCGGGUCUUGGGACCGGGAGAGGCGGAGGGGUACCCCUGGGGUAGGGGUGAAAUCCUAUAAUCCCAGGGGGACCGCCAGUGGCGAAGGCGCCCCGCUGGAACGGGUCCGACGGUGAGGGACGAAGGCCA